rnacentral:rRNA from 1 species
GUGUCAGCCGCCGCGGUAAUACGGAGGGGGCUAGCGUUGUUCGGAAUUACUGGGCGUAAAGGGCGCGUAGGCGGGCGCUUAAGUCGGGGGUGAAAUCCCGGGGCUCAACCCCGGAACGGCCUCCGAUACUGGGUGCCUUGAGGACGGGAGAGGUGAGUGGAAUUCCGAGUGUAGAGGUGAAAUUCGUAGAUAUUCGGAGGAACACCGGUGGCGAAGGCGGCUCACUGGCCCGAUCCUGACGCUGAGGCGCGAAAGCGUGGGGAGCAAACAGGAUUAGAUACCCUGGUAGUCCACGCCCUAAACGAUGAGUGCCAGUUGUUGGCGGGCAUGCCCGUCAGUGACGCAGCUAACGCUUUGAGCACUCCGCCUGGGGAGUACGGCCGCAAGGUUAAAACUUAAAUGAAUUGGCGGGG